rnacentral:lncRNA from 1 species
GGUUUCUAUACAAAAAGAUAUAAAUAAGGGAGAUAAUUUUUUACUUCCGGUUUAAAAUAUGUUACUUCCGGUAAUUUUUUAUUGUUUACUUGACACUGAUUCCAAAAAUAUAUGGUUCUAUAUACUUUUUCAUUAAUUAAGUACAAAAUAUAGCUACUUCCGGUUUACAAAAGGUCACUUCCGGUUGUCUUUUUCUAGAUCACAUUGCUUGCAACCUAAUUUAAAAAGUCCCAUGUCUUGAUCAUGUAUACAUAUGAGGUAAAAGCAAAGGUCAAAAUCUAGAACGUUACAUUUACCUAUGACCUUGAGCUCAAUUUCGAGGUCAUCAACCAAGGACCUCAAAUCAAAAGACUCUAGGCCUCUACUAUAUAUAGUUAAUGAGUUGUAUUACCUUACAACUAAUAUUAGAUAUAAAAGGGGGCAAAACUGGCA